CCUACGGGUGGCUGCAGUAAGGAAUAUUGGUCAAUGGAGGAAACUCUGAACCAGCCAUCCCGCGUGAAGGAUGAAGGGGCUCUGCCUUGUAAACUUCUUUUGUCUGGGGCGAAAAAGCUCGAUUUAUCGAGAACUGACGGUACCAGAAGAAUAAGCACCGGCUAACUCCGUGCCAGCAGCCGCGGUAAUACGGAGGGUGCAAGCGUUUUCCGGAAUCACGGGGUUAAACGGGUGAGUAAGCGGCUGGUUAAAGGCGGUGGCUUAACCAUGGAAUUGCCAUUGAUACUGCAGAGCUUGAAUGAGGUUGAGGUUGGCGGAAUGUGACAUGUAGCGGUGAAAUGCUUAGAUAUGUCAUGGAACACCGAUUGCGAAGGCAGCUGACUGGACCUAUAUUGACGCUGAGGCACGAAAGCGUGGGGAGCGAACAGGAUUAGAUACCCUGGUAGUC
rnacentral:rRNA from 1 species